rnacentral:rRNA from 1 species
UACGAAGGGUGCUAGCGUUGUUCGGAAUUACUGGGCGUAAAGCGCGCGUAGGCGGCUAUACAAGUCAGAGGUGAAAUCCCGGAGCUUAACUCCGGAACUGCCUUUGAAACUGUAUAGCUGGAGUGUGUGAGGGGAUAGCGGAAUUGCUAAUGUAGAGGUGAAAUUCGUAGAUAUUAGCAGGAACACCGGUGGCGAAGGCGGCUAUCUGGCACACAACUGACGCUGAGGCGCGAAAGCGUGGGGAUCAAACAGG